rnacentral:lncRNA from 12 species
UCUGCUGCUCUUUGAUAGCAUGCAUUUAUGGAUUUGAAUCUUCUGGACAAAGCCUAACUAGACACCAAGACAGAAAUUGCACAGAGAUGGGAGAAACUGUAAAACAGAGGGCAAGCAAGGCGUAACUUUUCCAGGUAAGACAAAAGAGAUCUUUGAGAGGAAAGGCAAGAAAGUCGACCUGAAGCCAAGCUAUGGACUUCAAGAGGCAGACAUUUGAGUGAG